AGGCGCGUAGCUCAGUUGGUUAGAGCACCACCUUGACAUGGUGGGGGUCGUUGGUUCGAGUCCAAUCGCGCCUACCA
rnacentral:tRNA from 107 species